rnacentral:rRNA from 1 species
AGAGUUUGAUCCUGGCUCAGAACGAACGCUGGCGGCAGGCUUAACACAUGCAAGUCGAGCGCACUCUUCGGAGUGAGCGGCAGACGGGUGAGUAACACGUGGGAAUCUACCCAUCUCUACGGAACAACUCCGGGAAACUGGAGCUAAUACCGUAUACGCCCUUUGGGGGAAAGAUUUAUCGGAGAUGGAUGAGCCCGCGUUGGAUUAGCUAGUUGGUGGGGUAAAGGCCUACCAAGGCGACGAUCCAUAGCUGGUCUGAGAGGAUGAUCAGCCACACUGGGACUGAGACACGGCCCAGACUCCUACGGGAGGCAGCAGUGGGGAAUAUUGGACAAUGGGCGCAAGCCUGAUCCAGCCAUGCCGCGUGAGUGAUGAAGGCCCUAGGGUUGUAAAGCUCUUUCACCGGUGAAGAUAAUGACGGUAACCGGAGAAGAAGCCCCGGCUAACUUCGUGCCAGCAGCCGCGGUAAUACGAAGGGGGCUAGCGUUGUUCGGAAUUACUGGGCGUAAAGCGCACGUAGGCGGAUUGUUAAGUGAGGGGUG